GGCACUUUGCCAGAUCAACCAUCUCUCCAGCCUCCACUCUAUCUUUUGAGACAGGGUCUUUCACCAAAUCUAGAGCUCUUCUGUUAGUCCGGGCCAGUAAACUCCAGGGAUGUAUCUGCCUGUCUCUGCUUCUCCAGCAUCCAGCAUCCUGUGGGUCCUGUGUUUGCAAUCAGGACUUCCUGUUUAUGUGACACUUACUUUCCUAACUGAGCCAUCUCUGCAGCCCAGCACCUGAUGUCUUAACCCUUUCCUGUCCAGAUUCUGAUAUGUUGUCCAUUUGUUCCUGUGCAGGGACCUCAUUGAAAACACUGAGAAUGUUGAACCUGAAGGGCAAUAUAUGGACCUCAAAGUGAACACCAAGGAUAACAACAUCGUGUAUGCCUCCAUUGCCCGCUCAAGCCCAGCCUCCCCAGGAACACCACCCUGCCAGCCCGUCCUUGGGAACCCCCAUGAAGAGAAUGUGUACUCCAUCGUAAAGACCAAAUGAGUGGGUCUGGGUGACGAUCUCAGAGUCAACUGUGUUUCUAGUAUGAAGACUCCCAGCUUCCACUGAUACCCAUAACCAGAGACAACAACUCAUGGGUCACUGAUACCCAUGGCCAGAGACAGAAAUCCACAUGUCAGGGCGUUUGAGCUCAGAGAAAAAUAGAAAUUCCCAGUUUGCUUUUCUAAUUUCCUAGACUUUUCUUACAACAAUAAUAAAAAUCCACAGAAUUUGCCUAAAUGAAUCUAAUUAAGAGUCACUUGUGUGACCCUUAACUUCUGGCCCUCUAAGAUUCCCUCCUC